ensembl:miRNA Mir5623 microRNA 5623
UGGCAGCUGGCAAGUCAGAAUGCAGGUGUGAAUGGACAUGGGGGUCUGGUUCUGGCUUUCAGCUGUCACC